AUUGAACGCUGGCGGCAUGCUUUACACAUGCAAGUCGAACGGCAGCGCGGGCUUCGGCCUGGCGGCGAGUGGCGAACGGGUGAGUAAUGCAUCGGAACGUGCCCAGUAGUGGGGGAUAGCCCGGCGAAAGCCGGAUUAAUACCGCAUACGACCUGAGGGUGAAAGCGGGGGACCGAAAGGCCUCGCGCUAUUGGAGCGGCCGAUGUCGGAUUAGCUAGUUGGUGGGGUAAAGGCUUACCAAGGCGACGAUCCGUAGCUGGUCUGAGAGGACGAACAGCCACACUGGGACUGAGACACGGCCCAGACUCCUACGGGAGGCAGCAGUGGGGAAUUUUGGACAAUGGGGGCAACCCUGAUCCAGCCAUGCCGCGUGCGGGAAGAAGGCCUUCGGGUUGUAAAACGCUUUUGUUCGGGAAGAAAUCCUCUGGGCUAAUACCCCGGGGGGAUGACGGUACCGGAAGAAUAAGCACCGGCUAACUACGUG
rnacentral:rRNA from 1 species